AUGGCGGGGCGAGGCGAUUGGCGUGUGCAGAAGCAGGGCAACUCGGGCGGCGGCCGCGGAUCCUGGGUGCAGGGCCGCGGAGAUGCUGGUGGCGGGGGAUUCUGGGUGGCAGGGCGAGGUGAUGCAGGUGGUGGCGGUGCUGGUUGGCGUGGACCAACGCAACAGAGACCGCCCACUCCUCCAACUCUCUCCACUCAGCCCAAUCCUCUAGUUGGGGGUGCAUAUGGCGUGGAGCAUGGAUUUGGAGGUGGUCAACAUGGUCAUGGGGAGUACUUAGUUGGCCGUGGUGGACAUGGAUCUGGGCAACAUGGGAGCGGUGGUUUUGUCUUCGGACAGCAAGGGCAGUUCUACCAGCAACCUCCAAUUCCUCCUUCAGGUAACUUUCAGACACAUCCUGCUGUUGGGUUUGGAGCAGUUCAGUUUGGCCAUAUGGGCAAUGAUGCUUUGGGUAGUUAUCAGUAUUCUGGAACUAGCAACUCACCUAAUCAACAAGGACAGGGGUAUGGUUAUACUGGUUUCAAUUCAAAUCAAUCUGGUACUAGCACUGGGCCUGCAAAUAUUGGGAGCAGAUCACAGAUGACAUGCUAUAAAUGUGAGAAUACUGGUCAUGCUGUUAAGGAUUGUCAGACUGUGUUAUUUUGCGUCAACUGCACCAAGGAUUCACACCUUUCGCGCAAGUGCUCUUUCCUGUCACAACCUAAGCCUGUUGCCAGUCUGGUUGGUAGUGCUGCUGAUGGUUUGCAGAUGUUCUCAGCAAGGACCAGAAAGAAGCCGGAGCCAGAUGAAAACAAGCAGGCUAUAGCUAUUAUUACUGUGAAAAAUGCAAGCCUGACUGCGUUACAGCUUGUUAACUCUCUCAGCAUGAUGUUCCAGUGGGGAUGGGAGUGGCAGGCUAAGCCUUAUCUCAGAGAUAGCUUUUUAGUCAAAUUCCCUUCCGCGAAUAAAAUUGAUGAAAUGAAGGCGUACAAUUUCUUUGGUCUGAUUGGAACAACAGCUAAUAUCAAAGUAGAUAGAUGGACCAACUCUUCAACUGCAGCUUUCAAACUGUAUGUUUGCUGGGUUAGAAUAACAGGGGUUCCCGAGACACUGGAGCACUAUCAAGGUUUUUGUGAAGUUGGUUCUCUCAUUGGUUCAGUUUUGGAACUGGACAUGGAGCUCUAUAGGCAAUGUGGAGUUCUCAGGGCUAAGAUUGGAGUUACGGAUCCUAGGAAAAUACCCUCUAGCGCUCCCCUGAAUGAAAGUGGUUUUUAUCUUCAACAUAUACUUUGA
rnacentral:rRNA from 1 species